GACGAACGCUGGCGGCGUGCUUAACACAUGCAAGUCGAGCGGUAAGGCCCUUUCGGGGGUACGACGAGCGGCGAACGGGUGAGUAGCACGUGGGUGACCUGCCCUCAGCUCUGGGAUAAGCCUGGGAAACCGGGUCUAAUACUGGAUAUGACUCCAUGACGCAUGUUGUGGGGUGGAAAGCCUUGUGCGGCUGAGGAUGGGCCCGCGGCCUAUCAGCUUGUUGGUGGGGUGAGGCCUACCAAGGCGACGACGGGUAGCCGGCCUGAGAGGGCGACCGGCCACACUGGGACUGAGACACGGCCCAGACUCCUACGGGAGGCAGCAGUGGGGAAUCUUGCGCAAUGGGCGAAAGCCUGACGCAGCGACGCCGCGUGAGGGAUGACGGCCU
rnacentral:rRNA from 1 species